rnacentral:rRNA from 1 species
UACGGAGGAUGCGAGCGUUAUCCGGAUUUAUUGGGUUUAAAGGGUGCGUAGGCGGUCCGUUAAGUCAGCGGUAAAAUUGCGGGGCUCAACCCCGUCGAGCCGUUGAAACUGGCAGACUUGAGUUGGCGAGAAGUACGCGGAAUGCGCGGUGUAGCGGUGAAAUGCAUAGAUAUCGCGCAGAACUCCGAUUGCGAAGGCAGCGUGCCGUGCCGCCACUGACGCUGAGGCACGAAAGCGCGGGGAUCGAACAGG